GCUGAGUGAACUUGCAGUUCUGUAAAGUUAUUCGAGAUAACUGCAAAUGGUAGUCCCAAAACCGGAAGAAUUUUGUCUGUCAUCUUUACUACGUGAACUUUAAAAGGCCUUGUUAUACCAAAGGGCGCCAAAUGGAGAAAUUGGGCUUCAUCAACGAUUCAAAUUCAUUGAUUUUAACAGCCUGGUUGCAAACUUUUAGCCAUAGCAUUGCAAUCAAUGUAUUUAUAAUCCAGUCUUCAACACUCACAAAUGCCAAUGUACACAGUUGUUUCUACGCUGAAACGUUUAAUCUGACAAUGAUUUGGUCAAUUUUUUUUUUUACUGGUUGACACUUCAAUUUUUUAAUGUUUGAUCAACCACUUUUCGAUACUUAAAAGCGAGGACCGAAUGGCACCUACACUUGGACUGGAUCGGACGGUUAUUUGGUCGAAUGGCUAGCGGCAAUAUUAAACUUU